CAGCCGCCGCGGUAAUACGGAGGAUCCAAGCGUUAUCCGGAAUCAUUGGGUUUAAAGGGUCCGUAGGCGGUCUUGUAAGUCAGUGGUGAAAGCCCAUCGCUCAACGGUGGAACGGCCAUUGAUACUGCAGGACUUGAAUUAUUGGGAAGUAACUAGAAUAUGUAGUGUAGCGGUGAAAUGCUUAGAGAUUACAUGGAAUACCAAUUGCGAAGGCAGGUUACUACCAAUUGAUUGACGCUGAUGGACGAAAGCGUGGGUAGCGAACAGGAUUAGAUACCCCCGUAGUCCCUGUCUCUUAUAC
rnacentral:rRNA from 1 species